AUGAUCACCUUUGAGGGCCGUGUAAUCUCUGAGGGCAUCACACCAACAUUUGCAACGGGACUUGCUGCUGUGUUUGCAAUCUACUACAUAUUCAACCUUCAGUAUCAAGAUGAGGCAGCCUGCACUCUGGAAUUCAUUCAGAGGCGCUUCAUUGGUAUAAAUCCAGAGCGAGGGACAAAGGCCAAAAGGGGCAAGGUUGUCUCCAAGAAGAAAGGUGUGAUCGUCCAGAAGAAGUCUUCUGCAGUCAAUACACACGUUGCCAUGCUACUGAAGAAUCUCCUUGACUUUGAAUGGAACUUCAUAUAGAUCGUGGCAACACUGGAAUAAUGCUACAGACAGGAACAUCGGCUACUAAAGUGAUGGUCAUCUCUCCUGGAUCCACAAGAACUAAGACGUAAAAACACAAACUUACCUCACAGGACGAUUUUAAGAGGUAAAAAUACAAGCCUACCUCACAGGACAAUUUUAAGAUGUUACAGUUUCAUCCCUAAAUGUUUUUAUUGAUGUACAGUACAG